GCGGUAGCACAGAGAGCUUGCUCUCGGGUGACGAGCGGCGGACGGGUGAGUAAUGUCUGGGAAACUGCCUGAUGGAGGGGGAUAACUACUGGAAACGGUAGCUAAUACCGCAUAACGUCGCAAGACCAAAGUGGGGGACCUUCGGGCCUCAUGCCAUCAGAUGUGCCCAGAUGGGAUUAGCUAGUAGGUGGGGUAACGGCUCACCUAGGCGACGAUCCCUAGCUGGUCUGAGAGGAUGACCAGCCACACUGGAACUGAGACACGGUCCAGACUCCUACGGGAGGCAGCAGUGGGGAAUAUUGCACAAUGGGCGCAAGCCUGAUGCAGCCAUGCCGCGUGUAUGAAGAAGGCCUUCGGGUUGUAAAGUACUUUCAGCGGGGAGGAAGGCGAUAAGGUUAAUAACCUUGUCGAUUGACGUUACCCGCAGAAGAAGCACCGGCUAACUCCGUGCCAGCAGCCGCGGUAAUACGGAGGGUGCAAGCGUUAAUCGGAAUUACUGGGCGUAAAGCGCACGCAGGCGGUCUGUCAAGUCGGAUGUGAAAUCCCCGGGCUCAACCUGGGAACUGCAUUCGAAACUGGCAGGCUAGAGUCUUGUAGAGGGGGGUAGAAUUCCAGGUGUAGCGGUGAAAUGCGUAGAGAUCUGGAGGAAUACCGGUGGCGAAGGCGGCCCCCUGGACAAAGACUGACGCUCAGGUGCGAAAGCGUGGGGAGCAAACAGGAUUAGAUACCCUGGUAGUCCACGCCGUAAACGAUGUCGAUUUGGAGGUUGUGCCCUUGAGGCGUGGCUUCCGGAGCUAACGCGUUAAAUCGACCGCCUGGGGAGUACGGCCGCAAGGUUAAAACUCAAAUGAAUUGACGGGGGCCCGCACAAGCGGUGGAGCAUGUGGUUUAAUUCGAUGCAACGCGAAGAACCUUACCUGGUCUUGACAUCCACAGAACUUAGCAGAGAUGCUUUGGUGCCUUCGGGAACUGUGAGACAGGUGCUGCAUGGCUGUCGUCAGCUCGUGUUGUGAAAUGUUGGGUUAAGUCCCGCAACGAGCGCAACCCUUAUCCUUUGUUGCCAGCGGUUAGGCCGGGAACUCAAAGGAGACUGCCAGUGAUAAACUGGAGGAAGGUGGGGAUGACGUCAAGUCAUCAUGGCCCUUACGACCAGGGCUACACACGUGCUACAAUGGCAUAUACAAAGAGAAGCGACCUCGCGAGAGCAAGCGGACCUCAUAAAGUAUGUCGUAGUCCGGAUUGGAGUCUGCAACUCGACUCCAUGAAGUCGGAAUCGCUAGUAAUCGUAGAUCAGAAUGCUACGGUGAAUACGUUCCCGGGCCUUGUACACACCGCCCGUCACACCAUGGGAGUGGGUUGCAAAAGAAGUAGGUAGCUUAACCUUCGGGAGGGCGCUUACCACUUUGUGAUUCAUGACUGGGGGUAAGU
rnacentral:rRNA from 2 species